CCUACGGGGUGCAGCAGUGGGGAAUAUUGGGCAAUGGACGCAAGUCUGACCCAGCAACGCCGCGUGAAGGAAGAAGGCUUUCGGGUUGUAAACUUCUUUGACAGGGGAAGAGCAGAAGACGGUACCCUGAAAACAAGCCACGGCUAACUACGUGCCAGCAGCCGCGGUAAUACGUAGGUGGCAAGCGUUGUCCGGAUUUACUGGGUGUAAAGGGCGUGUAGCCGGGAAGGCAAGUCAGAUGUGAAAUCUGGAGGCUCAACCUCCAAAUUGCAUUUGAAACUGUUUUUCUUGAGUACUGGAGAGGCAGACGGAAUUCCUUGUGUAGCGGUGAAAUGCGUAGAUAUAAGGAGGAACACCAGUGGCGAAGGCGGUCUGCUGGACAGCAACUGACGGUGAGGCGCGAAAGCGUGGGGAGCAAACAGGAUUAGAUACCCCUGUAGUC
rnacentral:rRNA from 1 species